rnacentral:lncRNA from 1 species
UAAUCUAAUUCUGCUGACUGUACGAUUAAUAAACUGGAUGCGUCGGAGAUAUAAGUUAAGUUUGAAACAUUUAAUGUGAUUUAAAAUGAACAAGAAAUCAAGUUUUCAUUUUCAUUCUUGCUGAUGGAUAAUGUAUGAAGUAACAUUGAAAUACAAGUUUUGAUCUAAAAGUGGAAGUGCUUUAAAUUUUAAUAUAAUCAAUAAAUAAAGUAAUAUCGUUAACAUAUACUUCAAGAGCAUUGUAUUACAAGUAACGGAUUCCUUCUUUAGAUCAACGCGAUUAUUUAAAAGACGGCAUUUAAGCUACUAGUAGUUUCUUUUAUUUUUUCUUAACUAUCUUAAAGCUGGAAAAUAGAUUUAUACAAUCUGAACAAAGCUUUUCUAGGUAAAUUUCUGAAUUAGAAAAGCUUAUUGCUGCAUACUUGUAAGUAUUUUAUCAGUGGAAAUAAUGCUCUCAAUAACUCUACUAACUCUACAAACUAUUGUCAUAUUGAUUACUCCAUGUGUUGCAAUCAAGUCAAAGUUUCGAAUCUUAGACGAUAAGAUAACUGCUGUCGAGAAGACAUUGGGAAGUGAAAUGAAUCUGAUAAAAAACGAAUUGUCCGAAUUUACGUUCAGAAUUAGAAGUUGAGAAAGGACAAAAUUGCAAACAUACAUGGUGGACUUGUGGCAGCUAAAGAUUGUUCCUGUUAUACAGACGACAUCCGUCAUAUGCGAGAGUUACUCCUGCAGCAGGAUCUGCGUCAUCGCUCUGUUGCUGACAAAAUUGACAGUCUGAAAGCAGAGAACGAGUGGAUGAAACAAAAGCUCAAAGAAUGUCAAACGGCAGCAACUCAGAAGACAGUAAAUGUUGGCGACCUUGAAGACUUUAUACAACGCAGUGAAAAUUUAGCGAAGAAAAACAAAAAACGUAUCAGACGAUUGCAUAAAGCGACAGAAAAUCACCUAAUGGAUAUUAGAAAGGCUUUCAAAAAUGAGAAGGCUGCACGUUGGAAUAAUUCUAGACAUAUCGCAAUGAUUAUCGACAAGAUUUCAAGGUUGACAAAAUAUAUAAAUAAACUGAAGGAAUUAUGUAAAGCUGCCAUCAACCGCCCUUAAUCCUGCAUUAGAAUAUCAUUUUAAAUGAAAGCAUUCUUGUAGACCUCAUAGUGCUAAGCAUGUUUCAAUACAGUUGAUAUGAUUUACUCAAAGGUGUAGGAUGGCAGUGUGGUAUAUUUAAUGCAAUAUGCAAAUUGUCAAAAUUGUAUAUUAUUUAAAGCGGUAAGCAUAUAUUUAUUAGAAUUACUGUAGUAAAAAAAAGUUGCGAUGUGUCCGUGUUUAAAGCAUUUGAACCAUUUUAGAUUAAAUUUGGUACCAAUAUUUCAUGCGUAUUUCGUCUUAAAACCGGAAUACUAAAAUAUGUCAUUCCAAACAAAGCAGCAUUAUAACAUAAUAAAAUAUUGGUUGAAAUCGAUGCAUAGUGAUGAUAGAAAGUAUGUUUAUAAAAAAUGUAAAAUGUGGAAAAAUUAUUUUGAUAAUGCUCCAGAAACAGUUAAUUUGUGUUCUUCAGUAAAAACGUUAUUAUGUUCAGUUGCGUUUUUAUGAUAUUAGGCUACAGCAAAAUAUUGGUAAUAUUGAUAUGUUUCUAGUUAUUGUUAAGCAAAGAUUAAGAGAUAAUUUCGUACAAAACUGGCAUAGCAGGUUAGAAGACUGGUCAAGAGCAUUUAAUUACUUGUAAUCUUUUAGAACAAUAUCCUGUUUCAAAUUUCACGAAUAUCUAAAUAUUAUAUCUGUGGAUAACAAAAUGAAACCAGACUACUAAAAUAUUGAAUCCCAAUUCAUAAAGACUUGAUCAUUUAAUAAAAACAGCUAAAUGCUAUCAUAUAUACAUGCACGACCGCGAUACCAAUCUUACACAAUUAUUUCUUAGUAUGUAAGCUUGGUCCUACGCGGCUCCUUCAUUUUAUGUAUUAUACAGAGUUUAAUUUAUUAGACCGUUAUUGCCUUGCAUUUCGUUUCGGCUAGGUUAGUGCGGCCUGUUUUCCGUUCUUGAGUCUAUACAAACCAAGGUAGCUAUCAUGGUACCUAUCUACUGCCAGAAAUGAAGUUCAUUUAAUGUGACACAUUGCUGUUUUCUUUAUAUUUUUAUGUUGUUUUUUUUUUUCUCAAUAAAAUACAUUAAGUACUAAAUAAAUGUUUGUUAUAGUAAUUUUUGCUUACCAGUACGUUUCGUUAUUAGAUUUAUUCUCAGCAGUAAGAAAUAUUGUCCGACAAUUUAGAUAAUUAUACACCCUUUGCAAUUAUUGAUAUAUAAUAUUUAAUUGUAAUUGUAUCAUUAUGUCAAAAUGUAAUAUGUCAUACCUUCUCCACUUAUAUAUAUAUUUCACUGUUAGUAAUAUAUUUUAUAAAUGUAUGCCACCAUGGAAUGCUUUUGAACAAACACGAAACUUGUAACUAAAUAUUCUUUGUUUAUGUUUGAACGUUUGAUGUCAGACCAAUGAGUACGGUGCAACAAGUUUAGAAUUUUAUAUGAAUCCAUCGGCAGUCAAGUGAACCAAUUGCCAGUUGUUGAAACUUUGCCUGAAAAAAAAACGUUUCAUUUACUGUAUAAACAAUUUUAAAUAGUGAAUAUGUAGUAGCAAGGCCCUGUAAAAUCUGACAGUUGAUUACGAUUGCAGCGUAAAGCACUAGGCUAUUUGCUGACAAUCAUUUAUUCUUUGAAUGUUAUUUCGGCCGGCACAGGAAAUUUAUUUUUCUAAAUAAGCGAUGAAUGCAUAAGUUGCAUACUUUAUAGCCUGUCCGCGUACAUGUAGCUUAAUAUGGAGAUCGCAGAUAGUUUAAGGGCGCAUGUUUCUGUCCUGAAUGUCCAGCCAGAAUUUUGUCACAUAAAACGAUCCACGAAAGAAAUUGUAAUGAAAAUUCUAACAAUCCGCGGAUUAGAUAUGCCUACACACAUUAGUAAACUUAAGGCAACAUUUCUAAAGCGAUAUAUAUAUAAUGAAAUAUUUGUCCGAAUUUGAGAAAUUAAAAGGAUUGUCUUUCAGA